rnacentral:rRNA from 1 species
AUUGAACGCUGGCGGCAUGCCUUACACAUGCGAGUCGAACGGCAGCACGGGUGCUUGCCCCUGGUGGCGAGUGGCGAACGGGUGAGUAAUACAUCGGAACAUGUCCUGUAGUGGGGGAUAGCCCGGCGAAAGCCGGAUUAAUACCGCAUACGAUCUACGGAUGAAAGCGGGGGACCUUCGGGCCUCGCGCUAUAGGGUUGGCCGAUGGCUGAUUAGCUAGUUGGUGGGGUAAAGGCCUACCAAGGCGACGAUCAGUAGCUGGUCUGAGAGGACGACCAGCCACACUGGGACUGAGACACGGCCCAGACUCCUACGGGAGGCAGCAGUGGGGAAUUUUGGACAAUGGGCGAAAGCCUGAUCCAGCAAUGCCGCGUGUGUGAAGAAGGCCUUCGGGUUGUAAAGCACUUUUGUCCGGAAAGAAAUCCUUGGCCCUAAUACGGUCGGGGGAUGACGGUACCGGAAGAAUAAGCACCGGCUAACUACGUG